AAUCUCAGUCUUUUCAUGAGGAAACAUCAGGCAAACCCAAACCGAGAGACCUUCCACAAAACAUCUGACAAUCACUAGUCAGAGUGUCACAGUCAUGAAACUGUCACAGAUCAGAGAAGACUAAGGAAAUAGGACAACUGAAGAAAGAGAAGAACAAAGGUACAGAAGAGAAGAGGAAAGAAGUAGAAAAGGAAGAUGGUGAAAGGUUUGCCCAUCAUCAGGAAAGUGACAGAAGCAAACUAUAUGGAUAUCAGGGGACAAGGGUUAAGACGUUUUUCAAUGAACAGCAACAACACAAAUUUGAAAUUGUUUAAGCGUAUGGCCAAGCAUUUGGCUGAGAUGACAAAAUCUGACAUCAUAAGGCACCAAAAAAUUAUUUGACCCUAUCUCCCCCCAAAAAUAACUUCAUCAUCACAAUGGGUCUGCCAGGAUGAUUUAUCAGAAAAUGUACCAGGUAUUUGAAUGAACUAAGCUCUUAUCUGGGUUUAUUUAAUAAAGUCCAUUUAAAAAUUA